GAUGAACGCUGGCGGCGUGCUUAACACAUGCAAGUCGAACGAAACACCUUAUUUGAUUUUCUUCGGAACUGAAGAUUUGGUGAUUGAGUGGCGGACGGGUGAGUAACGCGUGGGUAACCUGCCCUGUACAGGGGGAUAGCAGUCAGAAAUGACUGCUAAUACCGCAUAAGACCACAGCACCGCAUGGUGCAGGGGUAAAACUCCGGUGGUACAGGAUGGACCCGCGUCUGAUUAGCUGGUUGGUGAGGUAACGGCUCACCAAGGCGACGAUCAGUAGCCGGCUUGAGAGAGUGAACGGCCACAUUGGGACUGAGACACGGCCCAAACUCCUACGGGAGGCAGCAGUGGGGAAUAUUGCACAAUGGGGGAAACCCUGAUGCAGCGACGCCGCGUGAGUGAAGAAGUAUUUCGGUAUGUAAAGCUCUAUCAGCAGGGAAGAAAAUGACGGUACCUUACUAAGAAGCCCCGGCUAACUACGUG
rnacentral:rRNA from 1 species